rnacentral:tRNA from 1 species
GGAGUUAUACUUUAAUUUAAAAGUUUUAGUUUGCACUUAAAAAAUGAGUUUUACUCUAACUCCA